UACGAAGGGGGCUAGCGUUGCUCGGAAUCACUGGGCGUAAAGCGCACGUAGGCGGAUCUUUAAGUCAGGGGUGAAAUCCUGGAGCUCAACUCCAGAACUGCCUUUGAUACUGGGGAUCUCGAGUCCGGGAGAGGUGAGUGGAACUGCGAGUGUAGAGGUGAAAUUCGUAGAUAUUCGCAAGAACACCAGUGGCGAAGGCGGCUCACUGGCCCGGUACUGACGCUGAGGUGCGAAAGCGUGGGAGCAACAGG
rnacentral:rRNA from 1 species